ACGCUCGACACCUACGGGUGGCAGCAGUGGGGAAUAUUGCACAAUGGGGGAAACCCUGAUGCAGCGACGCCGCGUGAGUGAAGAAGUAUUUCGGUAUGUAAAGCUCUAUCAGCAGGGAAGAAGAUGACGGUACCUGAGUAAGAAGCCCCGGCUAACUACGUGUCAGCAGCCGCGGUAAUCUGAGCGGGCUGGCAAGGC
rnacentral:rRNA from 1 species